rnacentral:rRNA from 1 species
CCCUGCCUUUUGUACACACCGCCCGUCGCACCUACCGAUUGAAUGGUCCGGUGAAACCCUCGGAUCGCGCACGGGCUCGCCCGCGCACGAGAAGUUGGUUGAACCUUACCAUUUAGAGGAAGGUGAAGUCGUAACAAGGUUUCCGUAGGU